ACCCGCACAAGCAGCGGAGCGUGUGGUUUAAUUCGUUGCUACACGAAGAACUUACCUGGGUUUGACAUAUAGGUUGUAGGGAACUGAAAGGGACCGACCCUUCGGGGAGCCUAUACAGGUGUUGCAUGGCUGUCGUCAGCUCGUGUCGUGAGAUGUUCGGUUAAGUCCGCUAACGAGCGCAACCCUCGUCGUAUGUUAUAUGUGUCAUACGAGACUGCCGGGUAAAAAGCCGGAGGAAGGUGAGGAUGAUGUCAAGUCAGCAUGACCUUUAUAUCCAGGGCUACACACACGCUACAAUGGUCUGUACAAUGGGUAGCCAAGCCGCGAGGCGGAGCCAAUCCUGAAAGCAGGCCUCAGUUCAGAUUGCAGUCUGCAACUCGACUGCAUGAAGCCGGAGUUGCUAGUAACCGCAGGUCAGCAAUACUGCGGUGAAUACGUUCCCGGGUCUU
rnacentral:rRNA from 1 species